GCCCUUCCUACGGGAGGCAGCAGGGGGGAAUAUUGGACAAUGGGCGCAAGCCUGAUCCAGCCAUACCGCAUGGGUGAAGAAGGCCUUCGGGUUGUAAAGCCCUUUUGUUGGGAAAGAAAUCCAGCUGGCUAAUACCCGGUUGGGAUGACGGUACCCAAAGAAUAAGCACCGGCUAACUUCGUGCCAGCAGCCGCGGUAAUACGAAGGGUGCAAGCGUUACUCGGAAUUACUGGGCGUAAAGCGUGCGUAGGUGGUCGUUUAAGUCCGUUGUGAAAGCCCUGUGCUCAACCUGGGAACUGCAGUGGAUACUGGGCGACUAGAGUGUGGUAGAGGGUAGCGGAAUUCCUGGUGUAGCAGUGAAAUGCGUAGAGAUCAGGAGGAACAUCCAUGGCGAAGGCAGCUACCUGGACCAACACUGACACUGAGGCACGAAAGCGUGGGGAGCAAACAGGAUUAGAUACCCUGGUAGUCCACGCCCUAAACGAUGCGAACUGGAUGUUGGGUGCAAUUUGGCACGCAGUAUCGAAUCUAACGCGUUAAGUUCGCCGCCUGGGGAGUACGGUCGCAAGACUGAAACUCAAAGGAAUUGACGGAAGGGC
rnacentral:rRNA from 1 species